AUUGAACGCUGGCUGCAGGCCUAACACAUUCAAAUCGAACGAGUGGCGGACGGGUGAGUAAUGUCUGGGAAACUGCCCGAUGGAGGGGGAUAACUACUGGAAACGGUAGCUAAUACCGCAUACCAUCGGAUGUGCCCAGAUGGGCUUGGCUAGUAGGUGGGGUAACGGCUCACCUAGGCGACGAUCCCUAGCUGGUCUGAGAGGAUGACCAGCCACCAUGGAACUGGGAGACGGUCCAGACUCAUACGUGGGGCAGCAUUGGGGAAUAUUGCACAAGGGGCGCAAGCCUGAUGCAGCCAUGCCGGGUGUAUGAAGAAGGCCUGCGGGUUGUAAAGUACUUUCAGCGAGGAGGGGUUACUCGCAGAAGAAGCACCGGCUAACUCCGUGCCAGCAGCCGCGGUAAUC
rnacentral:rRNA from 1 species